GUACCUGAAACGUCCGAUGAAGAGCAGGACCAAUCAUCAUUCACCAAGGGCGCCUGCAACUUUCCCCAGACGCAUUCGCUGAUAACUUCUCCAAUCAGAUCCUGUUGCCAGGAAUCGUAGAUCACUGUGAGACCAGUUGAGCUUCGGAAUCAUUUCUGAGAAGAUAAUGACUGAAUUUGCUGUGAAUUCACUGAUCCGGAGAGCAGCGAAGAAGGCCAAAAGAAAAACAGAUCGGAAAAGCAGAGUUUCUAAAUCCGAAGAACAUAUUGAGGGUCCAACUGUAGAAGGCUCGAGGGAAGGAUGCAGAAGCUCUGUAUCACCUGCUUCCUGAACCGAAGGGGUAAUAG